UACGAGGGGGCAAAUAUGUUAAAAGAAAAAAAAAGCUAAGUGGAUGGUGGAAAAAAGUGACUAACAAAGUGAAAGCACAUCAAAAUUAUUGCAUUUUUUGGCGACUUAGCAAAUAACAGCAACAACAGUUAGGAAACUAAAUAAAUAGCACAUAAAGAAAUCAAAACAGAUAUUCAUCGUAAUACCCCGCUGGACUUGUACUCAGGGUAUAGCCAGCCAGUGAAAACGGAAAGAGGAAACUGAUCAAGUCGAAAGAUGUUGAUUCAACUGAGGAACCAGCCAUGAAUGAUUGUUGAGGCACGGGAAAUGGCUAAAUGGAAUAACAGUGGUUUGCAGGUAGCAUAAAUAGUAAGCGAACGAGUUGCUUAUAGAAAAAUCAACAAAACACACACAUCAAAUUUCAGGCGUGCAUAAUAUGUGAAAUGUGUGUUCGUUUCCUGAAAAAUAAUAUUUAAACACCGCAAUCCAAUUAAAAUUAUCAAACACGCACGACUUACAUGGCAGUUCAAUUACAGUAUCGCAAAACAAGAAAAUCUGCUAAAGUUUGUAUACGUAGAAACAUUGUGGCGAACAGUGGAA